AUUGAACGCUGGCGGCAGGCUUAACACAUGCAAGUCGAGCGGUAACAGAGAGAAGCUUGCUUCUCUGCUGACGAGCGGCGGACGGGUGAGUAAUGCCUAGGAAUCUGCCUAGUAGUGGGGGAUAACUUGCCGAAAGGUAAGCUAAUACCGCAUACGUCCUACGGGAGAAAGGAGGGGACCUUCGGGCCUUUCGCUAUUAGAUGAGCCUAGGUCGGAUUAGUUAGUUGGUGAGGUAAUGGCUCACCAAGACCGCGAUCCGUAACUGGUCUGAGAGGAUGAUCAGUCACACUGGAACUGAGACACGGUCCAGACUCCUACGGGAGGCAGCAGUGGGGAAUAUUGGACGAUGGGGGGGAACCCUGAUCCAGCCAUGCCGCGUGUGUGAAGAAGGUCUUAGGAUUGUAAAGCACUUUAAGUUGGGAGGAAGAGCAGUUAACUAAUAUUUGACUGUUUUGACGUUACCGACAGAAUAAGCACCGGCUAACUUCGUG
rnacentral:rRNA from 1 species